UAGUGUCACAGCUCUUUUAGAAUUUGUCUAGUGGGGCUUUUGGUUUUUGCUGGAAAGUCCCCU
ensembl:snRNA U7 U7 small nuclear RNA